GAACUUGGAGGAAAAUUUAACUGGACAAAUGUAGGAAAAGUGUAAUAGGAUCAUAGAAUUGACGUAUAUACAUUGAAUAACACGUGAUUCACUUUAUAGGAUGACUUUUUGUCAUGUAUCGAAUAACUGUAAUAUAUGGAAAAGCUACUCGUCCUUUUCAACAGUGUCAAAAGUUCAGUUUUUUAUAAUUGGAAUAAAUUGUUGUAUGUAUCUAAAGGGUUACCUAUACAGCGGAUGUAAAUGCGUCUCAAGAAACUCUCAAUAUAUUCUAACAAUAGUACGUACAAGUCCAUAAUAAAUAACUCACAUUGGGACGAAUUAAAAAUAAUUAAAUAAGGAACCACUGCCAGAAAUGCCAAACUGUUGCACCGAAAAGAUUCUAGACAUAUUCUGGCGAUAAUAUAAUAUCAGAAUACAAUCUUCGCAUUUGCCAAAUUUCGAGCGUAAAACAUAUUUCCACGAAAUCCACCUAUCGUUAAAUCAAACUAGUAAAGUUUCAGCUUCGUCCACAAAACGACCAGCGAAGAUCGAAUUGCAGCGAAGCAGGAAUAUUCGAGGAAAUGCCUCGUAUCCGGUGUCGCCAUUAUUUCGCGUUUUAGCCUCGUUUCGGCUUCCGGCAGGCUGUGAAAGGCUCGUGUCAGGAAAACGGAAGAGCCGUUGACAAAAGGAAAAAAUUACAAGGAUGAACGUUCAGAAGUAUCGCCGAGAGUUUUGUCAAGUUUUACAAAAAAAGUAUGCGACGUGCGGCGUCCUGCGAUGUGAAGACUCUUUUUUCUCAACUAUCAGCCGGUUUUCGACCGUUGUUCAACCCCUACUUGUUCGUUCGUUCCUCCUUGAUCUCGCGAUCUUAGUUACGUGCUCCUUUGUUGCGAUCGAUCAUCUUUCAGCAACCUUGGAACUUUUCCGACUCGAGCUCACGUAACGAAGAUAUUUUCGGAACCAGUCCGCCCUUUCUGGCUUGAUAAUUUUAUUGCUUGACGUAUGCGAGUUUUCGAUGCCUGUUAACGUCGUUCGGCUCGAGAGCAGUCGAUCGAUCGAAUCGCAUUUCUCCGUUUCUUCUAUAUUUUCCUGCAUAUUUUUGUCACCGUAACACGCACGUGGGAGUGCACUCUCACGCGCGUAUAACGGCCGUUUGGCACGGCUAGCAAUUACCGACAAGUAGCAGGCAGUUGACGAAGGAGCGUGGAUCGUUGAGAAGCUAUCGAUUUUACAAGAUUUUCGUUGCAACGAGAUUUCGUAGCAUUCCAAGUGUCUGAAUCGAAUUAAAGCAAUGUAAUUAUGUGUCGAGUCUGCUGUAGUCUUUGAAAUUUCAUGUGGAAGUCUCGGUAUUGUUUUGGAAUUAAUAAAAAGAUUUCGAACGUUUUAAGAGACAAUGUAGUAUACGAUUGAAACAAGAAGUCAUAUGCACUGACGGUGAUUUGUCCGUACUCUGUACAGAAUUUCAGAAAUUUUCAUAGUGAUUCUAUAGGGAGCGGACGAAAGCGAGUUAGAAAAUGUACACGGAAUCGAGCAACAGUGGAGCAACAGUGGAGAAACGGUGGAGGCAACGGUGGAGCAACAAUCGAGCAACAGUGGAACAACGAUAACAUGAAGAAAAGGUAUCGAUCGAUUAAAAGGAUGGCAAAUUUCACUGUGAGGAAGAUCUUUAAGCUAUCAAAUGUCUGGAAACUGGAAUUUAAAUACGGGAUAUGAUUAAUUAACACGAAAACAAUUUAUUAAGUUAUUAAAAGCCAUUCGAACAAACAUAUUUACGCCAUUCAGUUUCAUCGACACAACGAAAUCGUAUCUCUCGAUCUAAACCAAUCGAUCGUCCGACAAAAGGUACCGAUACUUGAAGAGUGGAACGAUAAAAACGUGCAUUAGGUUGGCACACCAGCCAGUUUGGAUUUCCAACUAGAAGCUAGCCUUUUCGCGGGCCAAAGACGACGAGGCUAACAAAAGUGAUAAAGGACCGCAAGGGUGCAACCCGUAUAUUUACGGCAUCACGUCGCUUUAUUAUCCCUUUUAAGAGUGAGAGGGAAAGAGAGAGAGAGAGAGAGAGAGAGAGAGAAAUUCCGGGUCUGAAAUGUAGGUGUUUUGCCUGAUUUUAGGGACUUGAUAUUUCUAUCCUUGUUAGAUGCGUAUAAAAUGUACGGCGAUGUAAAAAUGUACGGAUGUACGAGGGUUGAGAGAAAGAUGGAGAGUGAGAAAGAGAGCGAAAGAGAGGGAAAGAGACAGACAGACAGUGGAAAAAAAGACGCGUUACCCUUCAACAAGCCUCCAUUACGUGAUUGACGUGGGUUCCGCCGAAAGGGAAACAGUGGCGUUAAAGCGUCGCAUUGUACGGUGUCAGUUCGAAGUGAAAAUCGAAGAAAAAGAAACAGAGGAGAUCACUUGCACUUUCGGCUGAAGACCGAACGAAGAUCAAUCGAGGACCAAUCAAAGACCAACUAAGAACAAAAUGCUGAGCGUGCUAGCUGUCGUUUCGCGCGAGUAAUGCUGAAAGGACCAGAAUCUGUGAGUAUCCGGUGCUAGGAUGAUAUUACGGCGCGUUCCGUGCAGAGGAUAGGUUGGUCUGGCAUUAUAGAUAACGCGUAGAGAUCUAUCUGUUGGACCUUGGAGGCGAUGAGGAUUUCUUUUUUUCGCCAAUGUACCAGGAAUGCAACGAAUUUAUGAAUAUCGUAUUACAAUAUUAGAAAUUGUUAUAGAUUGAACGGUAAUAUUGUGCACGUUACGUAUUACGAAAGUGACAACAUGGAUGAUUUACAAGUUUGAAAUUACAAGCAUGGAAGUUGCGAAUGGCGUAAUAAAUGAAGCAAAUUGGAAAUAAGGAAUUUUUUCGAGUAUAAGUUUUAACAUUUGGGAGUAGCUUUAGAGAUUGCAAAAUAUUUAACUUCUAAACCGAAUAGUAAGAAUUUCGACUAGUGUAAUUUGAAACGCUCUUUAUUUUCACUCAACCAAUGAUCCUAAAAUCCAUUCAAUCGAAGACAAGUUCGACCAUUAUACUUCCUACUCCAUCUUUACGUUGUUAUAUAUAUCAUAUUUUCAUAAUUUGAUCCAACAUAUGAAGAAUAAAAAGACAAAAAAAUGUUAUACAUAUAGGACAUAGAUAGUUUUUGCCUCUUUGCCUACAGUGCUUCAGUACUACUUUUACGAAAUUUGGGUUGUUCAAAUCCUACGAGUUCUCGUUGUAGAAUACAAAAUCAUUGACUUAAAAUUGAUAAAAAUUGACUUAAAAUUAGAUUCCAUAGCGAAACCAUUUUUCACACGCUUGCCAUUCGCUUUUAUCCAGGAACGUCUGUUCGUCGAGAUACCAAACUCGAUUAUUCGUCUGAUUCCUGUUUCCCUUUUCACCCCUUUCAACCUAUUCCUACCGUUCAUUUAACAAUGGCGAAAAUUCGGUUAGAUCCGUCCCUAUCCAGACUUUGCGCGGCCAGCUCCAUCAAAGCGUAAACUUCUCCUCGGAAAUAAUGCUAUUCAUUGGAAAGGCGAUGCGUUUCGUUGCGACGCGGGGAUUGAAACAAUCCCUUCGUGACCACGACCAAUAGUCGAUCGGAUAAUGAACUCAUUGCGCAUAGAAUAUCGCACGAAGCUACUGGCGGAAUGAUUCUGUUCGAGAAUCAUUCAAUAGAUGUACUUUGAAGAAGAAUGCAGACAAUUGGCCACAUUUCGAACGCUGAUUUUGUGGAAAGUGGAUAAUCGAGCCGUUUAACGACGACAAUAGGCCGGUGGAAAUAAUUAAUGGAGCUUAGUGGAUUUUCGGGGGGUUAAUCGGAAUGAAGAGGCAUAUCGCGUGCUCGACGAUUGUUAUCGAGCGGUUGUUAUCGGUAACGUUUAACGAGUCAAGGAUGAAACGCGAUACGGGAUGGUCGAUUCAAAUUAUAUCCGCGGCUGUUUCUAGAAUCGAGUUGCGUAUAAUUCGUGAAAUUGUUGUAUCGCUUGUUGGUAUUUCCAUAUUAAUAAAUACCGUCCAGUAGAUACUUUCAAUUUUCUCGUCAUCUACAGCCUACAUACACCAUUUCCUUUAAAAUUUCACGCGCAAAUAUGUUAACGGCAACACACUUUUAUGCCGAUAUAAUACCAAAUAGUCCGACACUAUUUAGCCUUACGAUAAUUCAUGACUGCGUCGAGGGCUCAAUAAGGAUCUCGGUUGAAUGCUUGAGUGAAUGUUUGAAAAACCGAUCGAGCUAUGAGGUGCCUAUGACGUGAUUGACAUGACCAGAGAAUACGUGAAACAGUUUGACCAAUGAUAGAUUGAUAAGGAGAUAAACCGAUGGCACAAGCGACCCGACCAAUAUCCACGAUGAAUAUAAUAUAUAAAACAAAGAAUCUAUUCCUUAUUUAAUGCAUCUAGCCACGGAGCAGGAAAGAUAGAGAUGCCUUUUGGUAAGCGCAUUGCUAGGGACCGCACGGAUCUUACCCCAGAACUCUAAGAAGCGCCAAGUGCUUAUCAAAAAUUCAUUCUUAACAAAUUUUUUAUUUUCGUUUUUCGAAAUUUACUACUAUUCGCGUACUAAAGUUGGAUUCAUAAACAUUUUCGAUAGAAAGUAGAGAUCUAUAAAAAGGAUCGGUAGACUUUA